CAUGGUGAAGCUGUGAAGGAACCUGAUGGUCUUCUUCAGGCUCUGAGUGACAGUUUUGGGGAAGUGGUAUGUUUUCAAGUGCUUCAGCGCAUGCAUUAAGCCCUUCAGGGUGUCUUGGUCGCCAUUUUUUAUUCUCCACAGGCUGAGCAGCUUCAGAAUCUGCUCACUUGAUUUGCAUGCCUUCAACGUCUUCUCAAUGUCUUCUGUUGUGACUUUCUUCCCUGGCAAGCUUUCCAUCAAGGUCCGGAGCUGCUCAAAGGUUAUCAUACCUUGGAAGAUCUUCUUGAACAUAUCUUGAUCUUUGUUUUGAUGCUUCCAUAACUUCAGGAGCUGGAAAGUUUGCUCUUGUGGGCUGUGUCGCCGUUUUAUCCUCUCUACGCUCUCUGCGUUUACUCUGGUGCCCGGCAAAUUAUCGACCAGGACACUGAGCCAAUUAGGGGUGAACUUUGUAGGAACAGCAAACCUGAAGAAUGCCUCCUCACACAGGGUGACGUCUAAAGUGGGAUCCAAAUGCACACCAGUUCCUACAAUAUCAUAAGCAGAGGUAUUUGACUCCAUAGUAUUCUGUCACUGCACAAAGAAGAAUCUUAUCAUUCUUCAGAUACAUGCUGAAGGCUUGGGUUGCGCCAUGCAUCUGGAUGAGAAGGUCAACGAUACAAGACAUUCUUUCAGGUAACGGAGCUUGUAAAGUUCUUUAACAAACAGAAUCCAAGAAUAAUGGAAGGUAAAGUUUCUGAAACAUUUGGGAGGCUUUCAACAAUGACCUUUUUGAACAGGACUUCCCUCUUUUACCGUUGUUAGAACUUUCUGUAAAAAAAGAUUUACCCAUCUAAGUAAAAGACUUUGCUUUAUUAAUAUCCAUGGAAAUGUAAACGGUAUAACCUGACAGGCAAAAUGGGAGAUAUUAUAAUGAGGAGAGGAGCUCUGCUCUCCCGUUGAGGAUGUCACCAUGCCAGCCGUACGGAAGGACAUCGGAAUGACAGGACACACAGACAGAUGGGAGUAGGUAAAACAUAGACAGGGGACAAUCUGACUUCAAAACGACAGCAGCAAGGAAUGGUUAAUACUUUGUGGAAUAACACUGCAUAGUCCGUCGUUCCCUUUGGACUGGAAACCUCUUAUUUUCCAUGAGGAACUCUGCCCUGUGGGUUUUUAGGGAGGGAGAGGUAAGUAAGUAAGCCCCACUGUGGUAGCGCAAAAUAAAAUGUGUCUCUUUGUCUUCUGGCUGCCUGCUUGCUUCAUUCCCUA